rnacentral:rRNA from 1 species
AGUGAACGUUGGCGGCGUGGAUUAGGCAUGCAAGUCGAGCGAGAACCGUAGCAAUACGGGGACAGCGGCGAAAGGGACAGUAAUGUGUAGGUACCUACCCCGAGGUCUGGGAUAGCUGCGGGAAACUGCAGGUAAUACCGGAUAAUGUCUUCGGACCAAAGGUGUGAUUCCACCUUGGGAGGGGCCUGCAUCCUAUUAGCUAGUUGGCGGGGUAACGGCCCACCAAGGCGACGAUGGGUAGCGGGUGUGAGAGCACGACCCGCGUCAUUGGGACUGAGACACUGCCCAGACACCUACGGGUGGCUGCAGUCGAGGAUCUUCGGCAAUGGGCGCAAGCCUGACCGAGCGACGCCGCGUGCGGGAUGAAGGCCUUCGGGUUGUAAACCGCUGUCGUAGGGGAGGAAAUGCAGGUGGGUUCUCCCUCCUGUUUGACCUAUCCUAGGAGGAAGUACGGGCUAAGUUCGUGCCAGCCGCCGCGGUAA